ACAGACCGCUUUAGUUGUUGUGGAGCUUGGAGCUUAGCAAGGGGCUGGUACAAAAACACAAAUCAACGCAAUGCAAUAAAUUGUGAAAGAAUUGUCUUCUAGGAGGGACCUCUGUUCUCCUGCAAAUGGCAGAUGAGAGGAGUCACAGGUUUUCUCUCCUCUUAAUUAUUCAGAUCUUGGCACCUGAGGAGCAGACCAGCUGGGGUUAGGAAUCCAAAGCAGGGCAGGAUCCGUCCACACACUCGUGUGUUUAUUUAUUUAUGCAGCUCCAGCAAAGAAAAUUAAAAACAGGGCUGGCCCCUGGCUGGGAGAUGGAGCCUGACACUGCAUAUGCGUCUGUGAGACUCAGUCUGGUCCCGGAUGCCCGACUCCUCGAGGUCUGUCUGUGCACUGGGCCAAGGCCCUGCUGGCCACAGAACAUAGGCGGUGAGGGCUGCAUAGGGAGGGGCUGUGGUUUCAGAGGCUGACGCAGCUGGCUGGCCUUCUGCUCCUUGUCUCCCGGAGGCUCCCUGCCCUCAGCAAUAGAAGCAAUUGCGGGUCCAGAUGACUCUCGUGGGCAGCAUCCUCCAUGUGGACUCAGCCAUCCAGGUGGCCUCUAUCCUGCAGUGUCCACCUCACAGCUCUGGCACCAUCAUGGUGCAGAGUGCAGCCCUAGGAAGAUGGGAGACCCAGGAACUGGCCCUGUCUCUGCUGAUAGCUCCGUCAGCUUGAAUGAGGUCUAAGCCCCACGGACACUCUGCAUAAAGAAGCAUGCAUGUUGUAUGGAGUCUCACUCUGAUGCCCAGGCUGGAGGGCAGCGGCAUCAUCUUGGCUCACUGCAACCUCUACCUCCCGAGUUCAAGCAAUUCUCCUGACUCAGCCUCCUAAGUAGCUGGGAUUACAGGCACACACCACCACACUUGGCUAAUUUUGUAUUUUUAGUAAAGACAGGGUUUCACCAUGUUGGCCAGGCUGGUCUCAAACUCCCCACCUCAGAUGAUCUCCCUGCCUCGGCCUCCCAAAGCGCUGGGAUUACAGGCGUGAGCCACCGCGUCUGGCCGGUACUUCAACUAAAUAUUUAAGAUUAUUAGUACAUUGAGCUCAUCAAUGCUUCCACUUUGGGGUCCAAGAGCAAAACUGGAGCUAAUUCAGAUUAUCACCACCUAAGUUGCUUACUUUUAAAAAUUAUUAUUAUUUUUAAAUUUGGAAUGUCUCAGGGUUUCUGCUCCAAUUCAUAAUUCCUGUGUCUUUAGUGGAAAUGUCAGUACUUUAUAGGAUGACACACACAGCAUUAUUCCUGGCUGUUGAGACACCAAAAAGCCUGAUUUACUGUUCCUUCCAGAGGAUCCCCAACACCGACAUUGACUAAAUUCCUUUUCUGCAAGCAUCCUGGCAGAUGUUCUGGUUAAGACCUUGCACCGUCACGAGCUCAUCCUUUUCAUGCUCCAACAGCUGUUGAGUGCUGUGUAGCCACCACCCAAGCAUCUGACAUGUCGAUUUCAUUCUAGAGCCCAGCUGGAACCCUAAGAGGUUGAAAGUGGAGUUUUGUCUCCUCUGCAGUGGACACUCAAAGAACUAGCCAGGAUGGGUUGGACCUGGGAGCAGAGAGACCAUGGCUCCCUUCCAAGGCUGGGAGAAGGGAGUUGCCACUCCUUCCCAAUCAAACCAUGCCAAGAACGAGGCUUUUGCAGGGAAAUCAGUGCAGAUGAGAACUUACCAACAGUUAAGAUGAAUAAAUAUAUCCAACUGCCUGGCCCAUGUCAACACGCAACAAUUAUUUGCUAAAAGAAAUAAAAAAGGGGCCGGGCAGGGUGGCUCAUGCCUAGAAUCACAGCACUUUGAGAGGCUGAGGCAGGCAGAUCACUUGAGGCCAGGAGUUUGAGACCAGCCUGGCCAACAUGGUGAAACCCUGUCUCUACUAAAAAUACAAAAAUUAGCCGGGUGUGGUGGUGCGCACCUGUAAUCCCAGCUACUCUGGAGGCUGAGACAGGAGAACUGCUUGAACUCGGGAGGCAGAGGUUGCAGUGAGCCAAGAUGCACCAGUGCACUCCAGCCUGGGUGAUAGAGUGAGACUCCAUCAAGAAAGAGAGAGAGAGAGAGAAGAAAGAAAAAGAAAGAGAGAGAGAGAAAGAAAGAAAGAGAGAGAGAGAGAGAGAAAGAAAAGAAAGAAAGAAAAGAAAGAAAGAACGAAAGAAGAAAGAAAGAAAGAAAGAAAGAAAGAAAGAAAGAAAGAAAGAAAGAAAGAAAGAAAGAAAGAAAAGAAAGACUGACUGCAUGAACAACAGCCCAGGAAACACAAGAGAAGUAGCGUGGAGUAGUGGCCAAGGAUGGGUGCUAGAAUCUCAGAGCCUAUAUCUGUAUAUCAAGAUGUCUCAGGCCAAUGCCUAAAAACAGUGUUCAAUAAAUAUCGAAUAGUAAUAUUACUACUGUUAUCACAAUUGAGAAUAACUGAGUGUCAACCAGCUGAUCUGCUUGCCAAUGAAGGGACUCCAGGAUCCUUAAGUCACUUCUAUUUUUCUCCACUUCCCUGGCAACUUUUUCUCCAAGACUAGAUCGAUUCAACACUCCUCCAAGUCCUGGGUUAACCUCAGUGGCCCUCUGCCUCCCAUUGUGAUCACCUUCGUCCACAGCAAUCUUUUCCUUCUCCGACAGCACAUUAUUACCUUGUCAUUGGGCACUUGAAGUAGACAUCCUUUGACAUCCUCUGUGAAUGUUACCUUAUUUCAUUCCUUGUUUUCCCAGCAUGUAAUGGGCAAACAAGGCCCUUCAAAAAACAGAUCUGACCCUGUUGACUUCUGCAGACACAUCUAGCAUCUCUUUCAACUUGAAAAAUCAUGUCUAUAUUCCUGCAUUCCUAAGCUACCAGCUAAAUUUUUUAUAAGUUUAAAUUUAUAUUUGGAUGUAAUUAUAUAUUUAUAAAUUACAUAUAUAUUUUAUAUUUUUAAGAUAUUUACUUGUGUAAAAUAAAUAAAUAAAUGGGUAAAAUUUUCAGCAUAUUGUAAAUACUGGAUAUUUUAAGAGAAAACCGUAAUAUAACUUAAAGUAUGUCCAACUGAGGCUCAAUACGAUUGUGAUUUGAUACCUGUCAUAAUUGAUUUUUAAAAAAAUACAUACAGGAGCUUCUCAUGGUUAGGAACUUUUCAUUGUUCUUUAUUCCCCUUGAACUUGUACACCCCUAGAAGAAUUUGAUCAUAAUGUAUCAUAGUUUUAUUCUUGGAAGUUUUUUUUAUUGAUUACUCUAUCACAUAUCACUGACUGCAACAAAAAUAUGCUCAUACAUUUACAUUUAAAUUUAAAAAAUGUCUCUGACUAUAAGUCUUUACAUUUUAAAAUAAGUUUUUUUUUAAACUUAUCAUUAUGGAUGAUCAUUCUGGUUGUUCGCAGAACACAAUUGAUCAAAGCAGCAUAAGUAUGGCAGAGCUCAGGAUAAAGAAUUAUUAAUCUGAAAAAAGUAAAAUUAUUUGGCUAUUCUUCUCUUAGUAUGAUAGGUGGGAUUUUUUUUUCCAUUAAUGUAUUCAUGAAUAUUACUUGUUAUUUUAAGGAGGCAGUUUCAUCAUCAAUUUUAUUCACACCGUUUUGUUUUUAUUGGUGUAAGCACUGAGCAUUCGUUCACAUAAACAAGCAGAUGGGAAAGGGGGGCCUUCUGUUGGAAGCCACGCACUUGUUUGGACUCCUUCCAGGUUAUGUGCCAAAAAUCACACAAUGAUUUAUCAUAAAAAUAUUUUUGAUAAUCUAUGAGCUGACAUCCCUAUUAGGUUCCUCUUCAAUUUCAGUGAAAGUGAAGAAUUGAAAACAAUUUGACUGUAAAGGGAUGUGGUUCCAGUUAUACACCCAGAUGGGGUACCCAGUUGUCAGAGAUGUUUGUGUUCUCAAUGCUCAGGCUAAUAUUUCAAAAUGUGUCUUUGCCUGAUGCCCUGAAGGACUUUUCCCAGGAGGGGAAAACGCCUUUGUAAGACGCAAGCUGGGUGAUGGCUUUUGUGUGAGGACGUCUUCCACCAUCCACCCUUCCCCAUCCUCCUUCUGUCCUGGGAGGCUGGUUGCAUGGACCACAGCAAUGGGCUCCCUUCUCUGCUGCUUCCAAGUUAUGUUCCCUGCCAGUGGUUGGAGGUCAGGGCAGGGAAGAAUAAAGUUGGGCUCCAUCUGUGGGAUGACCCAGGGUGGCUGCAUCUCUCUCAGGAAGGUCACAGCUCCUUCACAUUCUACACAGCCUCUCCUGUCUCCAGAUUCUGGAAACCUCUUUCUUCUCUAACUCUGCACAGGGCCCCACUAACCCUAGAGAGCUGCACUAUCCUUUGUGGCUUUCUUUACUUCACCCACACCUUUAUAAACAUUUCCUGUAUUAAACUUUCUUCGAAUUACCCAAUUUGAGUGUGCUUUCUGUUUUGUGUUAGUAUCCU
rnacentral:lncRNA from 10 species